rnacentral:rRNA from 1 species
GGGAUAACUAGUCGAAAGAUUAGCUAAUACCGCAUACGACCUGAGGGUGAAAGUGGGGGACCGCAAGGCCUCAUGCUAUAGGAGCGGCCGAUGUCUGAUUAGCUAGUUGGUGAGGUAAAGGCUCACCAAGGCGACGAUCAGUAGCUGGUCUGAGAGGACGAUCAGCCACACUGGGACUGAGACACGGCCCAGACUCCUACGGGAGGCAGCAGUGGGGAAUUUUGGACAAUGGGCGAAAGCCUGAUCCAGCAAUGCCGCGUGUGUGAAGAAGGCCUUCGGGUUGUAAAGCACUUUUGUCCGGAAAGAAAUGGCUCUGGUUAAUACCUGGGGUCGAUGACGGUACCGGAAGAAUAAGGACCGGCUAACUACGUGCCAGCAGCCGCGGUAAUACGUAGGGUCCAAGCGUUAAUCGGAAUUACUGGGCGUAAAGCGUGCGCAGGCGGUUGUGCAAGACCGAUGUGAAAUCCCCGAGCUUAACUUGGGAAUUGCAUUGGUGACUGCACGGCUAGAGUGUGUCAGAGGGGGGUAGAAUUCCACGUGUAGCAGUGAAAUGCGUAGAGAUGUGGAGGAAUACCGAUGGCGAAGGCAGCCCCCUG